rnacentral:rRNA from 1 species
UACGUAGGGUCCGAGCGUUGUCCGGAAUUAUUGGGCGUAAAGGGCUCGUAGGCGGUCUGUCGCGUCGGGAGUGAAAACUUACAGCUUAACUGUGAGCGUGCUUUCGAUACGGGCAGACUUGAGGCAUUCAGGGGAGAACGGAAUUCCUGGUGUAGCGGUGAAAUGCGCAGAUAUCAGGAGGAACACCGGUGGCGAAGGCGGAUCUCUGGGCCUUACCUGACGCUGAGGCGCGAAAGCUAGGGGAGCAAACAGG